rnacentral:rRNA from 1 species
GACGAACGCUGGCGGCGUGCCUAAUACAUGCAAGUAGAACGCUGAAGCGAGGAGCUUGCUCUUCUUGGAUGAGUUGCGAACGGGUGAGUAACGCGUAGGUAACCUGCCUUGUAGCGGGGGAUAACUAUUGGAAACGAUAGCUAAUACCGCAUAACAAUGGAUGACACAUGUCAUUUAUUUGAAAGGGGCAAUUGCUCCACUACAAGAUGGACCUGCGUUGUAUUAGCUAGUAGGUGAGGUAAUGGCUCACCUAGGCGACGAUACAUAGCCGACCUGAGAGGGUGAUCGGCCACACUGGGACUGAGACACGGCCCAGACUCCUACGGGAAGCAGCAGGAGGGAAUCUUCGGCAAUGGGGGCAACCCUGACCGAGCAACGCCGCGUAAGUGAAGAAGGGUGUCGGAUCGUAAAGCUCUGUUGUAAGUCAAGAACGGGUGUGAGAGUGGAAAGUUCACACUGUGACGGUAGCUUACCAGAAAGGGACGGCUAACUACGUG